UUUAAAAUAAACAACUUAGAUAUAUUGACAGGACUUAAUGUACUUCGAAAGCAAAAUGUAGGAAAAAUGUCAAAAGUAAGAAAAGAUGUUGUAACUGAUAGGACAUCGCCUUUUCUUAUUGUGAAAAAUGACGAAGAAUGGACGCAAGAAAAAUCAUUACCUGACAACUUUGGCAAACAAGUUACCUGUGUAUUAAUUGUCGGCUAUGUUCGUGGUGGAACAACAAUGAUAUUGGAUACACUGGCGCAAACGAGUAGUAAUUUUUAUUUUUUCGAACCUAUACGAAAUCUAACAGAAAGUUCUUAUGCAAAAAUGCCCAUAACUUUUUAUAACGGAACAGUGAGAAAUAUUUUUAUGCACGGAAACCUACCCAGAGUACAAACCGAAAUGUUAAAUCACUGGUUCAACUGUGAUUUUACGAAAAUAAAUAUUGGAGACCUGAAGAAUAACCAUUUGAUACACUCACGUGCCACCAAGUCGUACUUUGCUUGUUUGCGAAAAUCACCAUAUCCAUUUUGUAUUAAAAUGAUGGAGAGCGUAUGUGUACCUAAGGCGAGAUGAAUAUUGAAAGUAGUCCGACAAAGAAUGAAAUCGAUAGAACACAUUUUGAGAAAAAGUGAUAAUCUUAAAAUUAUUUAUGUCGUUAGAGAUCCUAGAGCUCAAAUUCAUUCGUUAAUAAAAUCAGGACUGCUUGAUCAGAAG